rnacentral:rRNA from 1 species
UACGUAGGGUGCAAGCGUUAAUCGGAAUUACUGGGCGUAAAGCGUGCGCAGGCGGUUAUGCAAGACAGAUGUGAAAUCCCCGGGCUCAACCUGGGAACUGCAUUUGUGACUGCAUGGCUUGAGUCUUGUAGAGGGGGGUAGAAUUCCAGGUGUAGCGGUGAAAUUCGUAGAUAUUCGGAAGAACACCAGUGGCGAAGGCGACUCACUGGCCCGAUACUGACGCUGAGGCGCGAAAGCGUGGGGAGCAAACAGG